UCUCAAUAAAACUUUUCCUGGGCUGGAUAGCAAAGGACACCUUUGGUUACCUGAAUGAACAGGUUUUGGCCAGAAAUGGUGAGAAGAAAAAGCAUGAAGAAGCCGCGAAGUGUGGGGGAGAAAAAGGUGGAAGCGAAGAAACAGCUCCCGGAGCAAACUGUACAAAAACCUCGCCAAGAGUGUCGGGAGGCAGGACCGUUAUUCCUGCAGAGCAGGGAGAGAGACGAGAGACCCUGAAACACGCGCCACCUAUCUUUGUGGGGAGGGAUAAUUGAAGCGCCCUGAGCGGUACCAGAGCCAGAAAAAAAAAUGCUGCAUGGGAGCUGCAUCUUAGGGCAUGUGUAUUAGGGUGUGUGCAUGAUGAAUUUCUGGACUGGAUCCCAAUAUUAAAAAGUAGUUUGGCAUUUUAAUAAAGGGUCUCUAAGUAAAUUAAA
rnacentral:lncRNA from 1 species